rnacentral:rRNA from 1 species
AUGAUAAGCGCCGGCGACCAUGGGAACGACCGCCGGAAGUUCGAGCCGGCGGCGGCCGGCAACAAGGCCCUGCAGGCGGCGGCGGCGGCCUCGCGGCACUGGUCGGCGUCCACAGAGUCGCGGAUCGUGCGCGUGUCGCGCGUGUUCGGCGGCAAGGACCGCCACAGCAAGGUGAGGACCGUCAAGGGGCUGCGCGACCGCCGGGUGCGCCUCUCCGUGCCAACGGCCAUCCAGCUCUACGACCUCCAGGACCGCCUCGGCCUCAGCCAGCCCAGCAAGGUCGUCGACUGGCUCCUCAACGCCGCCCAGCACGAGAUCGACAAGCUGCGGCCGCUCCAAUUCCCGCCGCACGACGACGACCUCCUGCUCUCUGCCCACCACCACCACCAUCACCUGCAGCCGACCUCCUCCAUGACGUCCAUGGCCAUGGCGCCGCCGUUCUCGCACGCCACCGCCACCGCAGUCGCGGCGUCCAUGAUGGUCGUCGACAGCGACAAGGCAGCGCAGGCCCACGACGGAGGCGGCGAUCUUAAGGGGUUCAUGAGCCUGAGCAACUCGCUCGGCCUGGUCAACGGUGCCGGAGCCGCCAUGCCGACGCUGGCUGCGGCCCAAGCCGGGUCGUACCACCACCAUUACGCCGCUCAUGAGGCUUGGAGCAAUGGCGGCAACAAUGUCCACGAGCAGCUGGGCGGCCAUCGCUCUUCGCCUCAUGUGGUGCCUCACCACGGCUUGCCGUUCCCGUCGCUGCUGUCCUUGGCCCCGGUGUCUCAGUUCGUCUUCUACACGCCGGAGGGCGGCUUCGCCAUGAAGGACGUCGCUUCCGAUGGUCAGUUCCCCGUAGACAACCUUGACGAUUCGCAAGGCCAGCUCUCGCUGAGCUCGCGGGGAGAAGCUUUCUUCACUCAGGAAGCCCGGGUUGAUCGAUGA